rnacentral:rRNA from 1 species
UGGGGAAUUUUGGACAAUGGGCGAAAGCCUGAUCCAGCAAUGCCGCGUGAGUGAAGAAGGCCUUCGGGUUGUAAAGCUCUUUUGUCAGGGAAGAAACGGUGAGGGCUAAUAUCCCUUGCUAAUGACGGUACCUGAAGAAUAAGCACCGGCUAACUACGUGCCAGCAGCCGCGGUAAUACGUAGGGUGCAAGCGUUAAUCGGAAUUACUGGGCGUAAAGCGUGCGCAGGCGGUUUUGUAAGGCUGAUGUGAAAUCCCCGGGCUCAACCUGGGAAUUGCAUUGGAGACUGCAAGGCUAGAAUCUGGCAGAGGGGGGUAGAAUUCCACGUGUAGCAGUGAAAUGCGUAGAUAUGUGGAGGAACACCGAUGGCGAAGGCAGCCCCCUGGGUCAAGAUUGACGCUCAUGCACGAAAGCGUGGGGAGCAAACA